rnacentral:ribozyme from 1 species
UUCCCAGCAACUACUAUUCUUACCUCCUCGCGGUACUGGCCGGGGUACGAGUAAUCUUAGGGAAGAUCGGGUAACCAACCCCUUCCCACCGGGUCGUAUGCUGACAGGGAA